rnacentral:rRNA from 1 species
CGUGUAGGUGGUCCGUUAAGUCGCUGGUGAAAGCCCCUGGCUCAACUGGGGGAGGUCUGGCGAAACUGGCGGACUCGAGGGUCCGAGAGGAAGGUGGAAUUCCCGGUGUAGCGGUGGAAUGCGUAGAGAUCGGGAGGAACACCAGUGGCGAAGGCGGCCUUCUGGCGGGCACCUGACACUGAGACGCGAAAGCGUGGGUAGCAAACGGGAUUAGAUACCCCGGUAGUCCACGCCCUAAACGAUGCAGGCUAGGUGUUGGUGGGAUUUCCCAUCCGUGCCGUAGCGAACGCGUUAAGCCUGCCGCCUGGGGACUACGAGCGCAAGCUUAAA